rnacentral:rRNA from 1 species
AACGAACGCUGGCGGCAUGCCUAACACAUGCAAGUCGAACGAGACCUUCGGGUCUAGUGGCGCACGGGUGCGUAACGCGUGGGAACCUGCCCUUAGGUUCGGAAUAACUCCCCGAAAGGGGUGCUAAUACCGGAUAAUGUCUUCGGACCAAAGAUUUUUGGCUUUGGAUGGGACCACGUUGGAAUAGCUUGUUGGUAGGGUUAAAACCUACCAAGGCGACGAUUCAUAAGUGGGCUGAGAGGAUGAUCAGCCACACUGGGACUGAGACACGGCCCAGACUCCUACGGGAGGCAGCAGUGGGGAAUAUUGGACAAUGGGCGAAAGCCUGAUCCAGCAAUGCCGCGUGAGUGAUGAAGGCCUUAGGGUUGUAAAGCUCUUUUACCCGUGAUGAUAAUGACAGUACCGGGAGAAUAAGCUCCGGCUAACUCCGUG